AUUGAACGCUGGCGGCAGGCCUAACACAUGCAAGUCGAACGAGUGGCGGACGGGUGAGUAAUGUCUGGGAAACUGCCUGCUGGCGGGGGAUAACUACUGGAAACGGUAGCUAAUACCGCAUACCAUCGGAUGUUCCCAGAUGGGAUUAGCUAGUUGGUGGGGUAACGGCUCACCUAGGCGACGAUCCCUAGCUGGUCUGAUAGGAUGACCAGCCGACAUGGAACUGAGACACGGUCCAGACUCCGACGGGAGGAAGCAGUGGGGAAUAGUGAAAAAUGGGAGCAAGCCUGAGGCAGCCAGGCAGCGUGUAUGAAGAAGGCCUUCGGGUUGUAAAGUACUUUCAGCGGGGAGGCGUUACCCGCAGAAGAAGCACCGGCUAACUCCGUGCCAGCAGCCGCGGUAAUAC
rnacentral:rRNA from 1 species